rnacentral:misc_RNA from 1 species
ACAAACCACAAAAAAAAACCUAUGAAUACAAAAAAAAAAUAUACGGUGAGAAUCAAGAACCCAGCGAAGAAUUCGCAAUCGAGGAGGCAACCUAGAUGAUUGGGAUCCCCACAAAUUACUAGGACAAGCCGACGUGGAGAGUGAAGAACCAAUGACGACGACAAUGGAAGAAACGAUGAGGAAUAGAGAAGGGAAACAAAAUAUCAUUUAACUUGAGAAGUAUAACAAAGAGAAACACACUGAAGAACCAAAAGUAGCAAUAUGCAUAGAAGUUGAAUCAUGUGAUAGGCGCGUGUGUUUGGCUCGAUUUCAACUUCUUAGAGAGGAGAAGAAAAUUGAACAAGAAAGUCUUCUGGAAACAAUACACAAAGUAAAAGAAGAGAGGCUAUAGUUUUGAGAGUAAGUUAUACAUUAAUAUGAUGAGUUCAACGAUUGAGACCGAGUUAAAAUGAACGGCUAAGAUUUAAUAAAGAGUUAAUUGAGAACACACAACCUGCAGCAAUUAUAAGAGUUUUUUUACCACUGAGCUACAAACAUCAAACAUAUCUCUUCUUCUUUUAACUUAUAUUUAUAUCGAUUCAAUUCGUUUUUUCAAUUUCUUUUCUCUAAAAAUCGAACUAAAUAUUAAAUCGAUUUUUUAAAAAAAUUAAAACCUUACCAAAACAAAUCACAUAAUAAACCAAAUCAAACUUCUUAUUCUAUUCGAUUCGGCAGGUUUUUUCACUUUAAACCACAUUAUGCUCAGCCCUAAGAAUAAGUCAUAAAAAGAUUGAUUUCGCUAUGGCUGCUGGUUACUAACCACGAAGAUACAUCUCAUCAUCUUCGUCAAAUGUUUCAAGGGCCACCAAGGCACCAACCACAAAGCAAGAGCAUAGACUAGCGAGAACUAACACCGAACAAGAAGCUUCAUCAGCCCAUCACUACAAGAUUACUGAGUAAACUCGAGACUAUCAAUAAAAUAGCCUGCAGUAUAUCAAGUUCUGCCACCGAUGCAUUAACUUCAGAAAACAACAUAAACAUCCAAUAUUACCAUUGUGGCUGAGAUAGGAGAACCACCAAGUUCCAAAAACGUAGCAGGAGAAGAGGUAGGCACAUCAAUAUUUCCUUACAUAUGAUUAAUUUUGCCUGCAUGUCAGCCAAAGUUGUAAUGGAUGAUUAACAAAAUAUUCAAUCAUCCCAUUUCCUGGACCCAAAAAAUUAAACUGGAGAUAGCUUCACCCCUAAGAACAAAAAUUAGAUGGAAAUCAAAAUAAAAGGAGAAUUUAGGGUAAGGGGGCAAAAAUCAUCAUAGGCCUUUUUACAGUCAUUUCAUCAGACAAAGUCAAGGCCCUCAACUGAAUUAGCAAAUCCUGAGAAUAGCAACAGCUUCAGGAAUCCACAGGCAUCAACUAUAGCCGAGAUAGAGGAGAUGGCAUGCAUGAAAAAUGUCCACAAGUCGAUACAUCAACCAUGGUUCACUUUCAGCUAGCCUAAACAAAAGCCCCAUCCCUAAAAAUUAAGGCAGCAUAGAAGUGCAGCAUUAGGGAAUACAGUUAACACACUUUUGAAAUUAUAGCUACUUGAACGAGCACAAAAUUUGAGAAAAAAGAAAAAAAGAACCAGCACAUAAUCGAUGGCUAAAAAGAUAAAAUGAGAAAGUCAUUAAAAGAGGGGUGGGAAAAUAAAAGAAUAUUCCCUGACAAGUAACGGUGCUCAAUUGAUAGAACUAAAGAUCACAAGUCAAAUAUCAAAGUACUAAACUAACAAUAGAGAGAAGAAGAAGAAGAUUUUUUUAGGGGGGGAGGAGGGGAAGGAUGGAGGGGGAGGAGAGAGAGGAAGGUACCCAAUCCAUUGCUGCCCAUUGAUUCUGCUACUUCAAAGUUUCAACUAGACAACCAGAAAAUAGACCUCAUCCGAACUUUCCUCAUAACGAUUCUCUCUACUCUCCUCAUUGCCACUACUCUGGUCACUAUUAUAGCUGCUUUCUGAUGUACUCAUGAACGACGAACCAUCUGAUGUGGGACUGCUCAAUUGUGAUGGCAGGCUGACUUCACUAUUUAGCUCGCUGUCAAUCAUUUGUUCUAUGUCAAUAAAACUGCAAAAUCCAGAAUCCCAACCAACCGAGGCAAAUUCAAUUCCAAAUCCUCUCCUUUUUUUUUUUCAUCUUUUCUUUAUAUUUUUUAUUAAGAGUAACAAAAAUGGAGUUUUGAGUACUGCUGCCAUCAACCAUCAACUAACCUUCCCUCUGGUGGAAACUCGGCCAGCAAACAGAUAUCAGGCCUUGCUUCUAAUACCUGCUUUAUAGGUAUGAUACUGCAAUAUUUCCAAAAUUUGGCAUAAAGAUGUGAUGCAAAGAUAUUUAAUGUAAGCAUGACGAAUCCAAAAGGAACAACUAUUACCUUGAACUGUAGCAUCUAUGAUACCAGUCACCUUCAGAAGCUAAACCUUCCCUGUUAGACACAUCCUAGUAGAGGGCACAGAUCAGGAUUAGAGGGAAAUCAAAAUUUUAGAACCAAUCAACACAAAGCAGGAUAUCAACAAUAUCAUUGUACCCACAAGAUAUCGAAGAGACUUAAAGUCUCCUGCAAGGACUGCCGUCAAUAGGCGAGCAACUUCAACCUCUUUGAGAUGCAUGCAAUCUCGUAAAAUUAAAACCUCCAGAAGAUUCCCACCUGUGCUACCUCCCAGGUUCCUCAAAAAAUUUCCAGUGAUUGAAUACGAUGUUGAAAAAUCAACAUAACUUAGUUUGCGAAAUCCCUGCACAAAUAAUUAGAAAGAUUAACUUGUGUACGCACAACUACCAAACUCACAUCACAACUGACAUCAUAAUUGCUACACUGUGGAAUAUAUAAAACCUAACCAACCAGGUAUCAAUUAAUUAAAAGUGAAAAAACAAAGAAAUCAAUAUAUAUCUUACCUAUUUCCAUGUUCAGAUCUUUGUUUAGUCCAAACUUUGAACUAUACAUAUGUUGAACCACACAUCAUUGGACCCAACCAAAUUUAUAAAAUGGAUAAUAGAUGAAUGCCUGUAAAGUACUUCAGCGGACCGAUAGCAUACAUAUAUCAAGUUUUUGUGUUUGGCAUUAUGAAGUGUUGAAAAUCAAUCCACCAUGUGAAUCACAGACAUUGUUGGAUGACAAGGGUUCUUUUGCAUGUCUAAAAUGCAAAGAAAGUUACGUAGCAAAUCAAUAUUCUUUUAGAAAAGAAAUAAACAGGAGGCUCCAAGGAAGUAACUGCAAAACUUGUUCUCUCAUGGAGGAGGAAAAAAAAUAGUAGUUCAGCAAGCCCUUCAGUGACAAGUCAGUAUAUCCGUUCUUUCUCUCUACUUUGCUUGCUUUGUUGCAUUUGACCAACAUACAAAUAUUUAGCACAAUAUAUUAUAGCAACAAAUACAUGCCUUGCUAUGAGAGAGAGAGAGAGAGAGA